AAUGUUCCCUUCACCACACACAGGCUGGGACUGCCAGCAACUAAAGAAUUUAACACACAGCAAGGUUUCCCACAAUAACCGGACAUGGUUUCCCCAGUUUUAAACCGCUUUGUUGUGUGCAACAAUGUACUAGGGAACCUGUCUCAGUUACUCUCUAGGUCUCAGCUUAUCAAGGGUCAGUCUCAAGCCACAGGUGACUUUUGAGCCCUUGAAAUUCGACUGCUCUGAACUGAGAAUUUACUAGUGUAAAUAAAUACCAAACUGGCACAAAACUAAUAAUGUAACUUAGCAAUAAUUUUCACACUGGUUACAAGUUGAAAUCAUAAUAUUAUGGACACAACAGUUUAAACACACACUACUACAAUUAACCUGCUAUUUUAACUUUUGUUAAUGAUGCCAUUAAUUACUUCCGCUCACACGUGGCUCCCAUCUGUGGCCUGUGCAAACCAACCACUCACUAGACUGUUUCCCACCAGUGAUCUGCUGAUGAAUCCCCAUCUUAGAAAUUCUUUACUCUGUAAAUCAAAGGCAAAGCUUUCAAACAGGAGUUCUAAGUGUAGGUAUAUAAAACAAAAGGCCAAAAAUACAUGAAAAAAUAUACCGACCUCAUUUACAGAUAUUACCUGCACAAAAAACAAAAACAAAAACCAGAAACCAAACCCUUCACUUGGGACUGUGCAGAGCCUGAGCCUAAUAGUGUGCUGUGCAUGACGGAAGCCUGGUGAGGACAGCAUCUUCACAUUGUCACCAUUGCUUUAUCCCAUUAGGACAGCUGAGGCUCAGAGUUGCUCCUGCCAUUUCUCUAGUCAGCAGAGGACACCAAACCACUGUUCAUGGCAUUGAAAACUGCCGUGCCCUCCCCUCUGCCCUCGGUUUUGUGCGCACCACUCUCUGGCUUACAAAAUUUCUCCAGACAUAUUGCACUAUGCAUUUUUCCUAACCAUUCUGUGAAAUAGGCAAGAACAGUCAAACCCCGUCUAAAAGAAAACAUCCAAUCUUCAUGGAAACUCAGGGCAAGGCUGCUGAAGGGGAAAGCACAGUCUUGGACCUCCGAAUUGGGAGGAAAGUAGAAGAAUCCUCUUUUUUUUUUUUUUAACAUAUUUUUGUGGGAAGAGGGAUGGGUCACUUAUGCCACAAGGUUCGUAUGCCAUGGUACAUGUAUGUCAUGGUACAAUGUGUACAGUGGUCAGAGGAAAACCUUUAAGAGUUGAUUUUCUCCAUCUACUUUGUGAGUUCCAGGGACCUAACUCAGGUUGUCAAGCUUGGUGGCAAAUUCCUUAAUCUGGUAGGCCAUCCCACUGGCUCCAGAACUUUCUUCUUUUAAUGUAGAUUGUUCCCUAGGCAUGGAGUUAAAGGGAACAGGAGUGAGGCCUUCUCUGUUAACCAUGGUUAUAUAUAUCAAGCACAAUGUAACUGUUUCUACACAUACAUUGUGGCACACUGGAUAUCAAUAAAUUGCUAGCACAGCCCCGUGGAUUUAUAGUACGGUACCUGGUACAUUACUAUGCCCGCUAUUCCAUCUGUGCUUUCAGCCUGAAGUAUUAUGUGCUGACUGUGUUCCAAACACACUGUGCACAAUGCAGUGAAGAAAUGAAGUUCUGAACAAGAAGUGAAGGGCUGAGGAGGUUGCGGAGACCUUACGUCCUGCUGAGUGGUGUUCCGAGGGGCACGAGGAGUCUUUCUUGGUUCCAAAGCUUAAGGAAAAACACAGUAACCAUGACAAACAAGACCAGCUCUAACUCAGAGCAUGGCAUGAUAAAUGCAGACCACUGGAGGCUGCUGUAAGCCCACAGGAAGAGGACCUGGGUCAGAAGAGGAACCACACAGCAGACCUGAAGAAGAGCUCAAAGGAGGAGAUAAUGACUGGAGAGCAUGGUAGACAGAAGGAGAGGGGCCAUUAAGAAUUCAGCCAAGCAGCACCAGUAACACUUGGCAAUGAGCUGCUUGCCAAGGUUGUCCCAGGGCCAAGGUGCAAAGCAGAAAGGAACAAAACCACCAAGACUAGCAGCUCAGGGUCACGGUCACACAAGAAAACAGGCAUCAGAGCAGAAAGCCCUCUAGCACCCAUCAGUGAAGGGGCACGGCCUCCCUGGGCAGCUUACUUAGACACUCUGCACAGCUCUUUUCUUGCCUGUUGUUUACCCAUCAUUUCCGUAAACCUAGAUCUUUGAUUCAGAUGGUAUAUGUGAGAUAUUAAUUUUAUUUAAAAUUUUUAAGAAAAUAAUGAAAACUCUACCAUAUCAGAAAAGCUGAAGAAUCUGAAUCUGAAGACUUGGUGUUAUUCUGUUUUUAAUAUGACAAGCACUCUAUCACUGUGCAAUUAAUAAAACCAGCUUAAGGACAGUGAGAUGGCUCUACAAAUAGACACUCACCACUGAGCGUGAUCAUGGGGACACAUAUGGUGGAAGGAAAGAGCUGACUCUACUCCAUUGUCCUCUGACUUCUACAUCUACCAUGGCUUGCUCCCUUGCCAAAUUAAUUAAUUAAACUAGUUAAUUAAAAAGAAAAUUGG
rnacentral:lncRNA from 1 species